AUUACUCCUACGGGAGGCAGCAGUGAGGAAUAUUGGACAAUGGGCGAAAGCCUGAUCCAGCAAUGCCGCGUGAGUGAUGAAGGCCCUAGGGUUGUAAAGCUCUUUUACCCGGGAUGAUAAUGACAGUACCGGGAGAAUAAGCUCCGGCUAACUCCGUGCCAGCAGCCGCGGUAAUAAU
rnacentral:rRNA from 1 species